AAUAAAAUAAUAAAAGAGAAAUUUGGAGGUUGUCAUCACUGGCUGUGAUUGCUUUUUGACCGUGAAAUGCUGCCUGGUGUACUGCAGAGACAUGUAUUGGUGCAUGCAAGCUGCAAUGAACGUGCUAGGCCUGUUCUGUUGUACAAUCUCGUGUUUGAUGGAGAUCCUCAGGGGUCAUCCAUUCUGUGCAGAGGACCCAAGGAUAUAAUUCCCCGAGUGACUUGAAACAUGCUCUUCACUUGCUCCUUUUUCUCUAUGUUAAUACAGGUAAAUACAACUUGUUGCUGUGCUACAGACCACUGAUCCUGUCCAAUGAGUAAACAUGGGACCUGAGUUAUACGAGUAUGAGAAAUAGGAGUAAAUAACGCUAACACAUGAGAUACUAGCCUGUAGAAGGAAACAAAAAGCAGGCUUGGUCUGGAGAAAGAACUAAAUUUACUGUGCUGCUCUUGCUUCUAGACUGGCAGGUCUUCCUGCAUUUCAGGAGUAUGUGGGGGUCAGCCUCUUCU
rnacentral:lncRNA from 1 species